rnacentral:rRNA from 1 species
CAGCCGCCGCGGGAAUACGGAGGGUGCAAGCGUUAAUCGGAAUUACUGGGCGUAAAGCGCACGCAGGCGGUCUGUCAAGUCGGAUGUGAAAUCCCCGGGCUCAACCCGGGAACUGCAUUCGAAACUGGCAGGCUAGAGUCUUGUAGAGGGGGGUAGAAUUCCAGGUGUAGCGGUGAAAUGCGUAGAGAUCUGGAGGAAUACCGGUGGCGAAGGCGGCCCCCUGGACAAAGACUGACGCUCAGGUGCGAAAGCGUGGGGAGCAAACAGGAUUAGAGACCCCUGUAGUCCCUGUCUCUUAUAA